UACGAAGGGGGCUAGCGUUGUUCGGAAUUACUGGGCGUAAAGCGCGCGUAGGCGGUGAUCUUUGUCAGAGGUGAAAUCCCGAGGCUCAACUUCGGAAUUGCCUUUGAAACGGGAUUGCUUGAGUCCGAGAGAGGAUGGCGGAAUUCCUAGUGUAGAGGUGAAAUUCGUAGAUAUUCGCAAGAACACCAGUGGCGAAGGCGGCUCACUGGCCCGGUACUGACGCUGAGGUGCGAAAGCGUGGGGAGCAAACAGG
rnacentral:rRNA from 1 species